rnacentral:rRNA from 1 species
UACAGAGACUGCAAGCGUUAUUCGGAUUCACUGGGCGUAAAGGGUGCGCAGGCGGCCGUGUGUGUCAGGUGUGAAAGCCCGGAGCUUAACUCCGGAAUUGCGCCUGAAACUACAUGGCUAGAGCAUUGGAGAGGGUAGCGGAAUUCACGGUGUAGCAGUGAAAUGCGUAGAUAUCGUGAGGAACACCAGAGGCGAAGGCGGCUACCUGGACAAUUGCUGACGCUCAGGCACGAAAGCGUGGGGGAGCAAAAGGG